CUCGCUCUCUGAAAAAGAAAAAGUCGAACGAAACAUGAAAUAAACAAUGAAGAACCACAAAAUAGCAAUAUUUUGAACUCACAAACUCGUUAUUGCAAAGCGUUCCUGGAUAAGGGAAUUAACUCUGCCUGGCUAAGAAUAGCGUCCACGCUACUCUCCCUUGUCUCUUUCGUGACAGGAAUUAUCUUUUUAUUUUUUUUUGUUUCAGUCGUUACUGCGGCCAGACUGGGGCACCACCUUGAGAGGAUCUAGUCGAAGAAAUCGACCCCGAUACGUCUUUUAAAGCCUGUCAUUGGAUUGCGGCCCAUGCUAGAGCACUGUCUCAGAGGUUUUAGCCAAACGAAUCAACACCAUUACUUAUGCCUUUUAAAAUCUGGUACUUAUUCUAUUGGUCUCUUUUGCUGAAACCAUUAGGUUAUGGGGAUGUAAACAAACUGACACUGGUUACCAAGCAGUGUGUGGUUUGACACACAUACAGGCAUGAAGACUCAAACAUAUAUACAUGAUGGGCUUCCUCACAGUUUCUGUCAACUGGAUUUACUCACAACCCAUUGAUCGACCUGGAAGGCAUUUGCCCAAGAUGCCCUGCAAUGGGACUGAACCUGAAGCCAUGGGGUUGGGAAGCAGGCUUCUAAACCACUGGAAUUUCUUUCAACAAACAGAAUGUUACACCUUUUUGUGCAUGACCCUAAUUAUGGACUGGGUAUAAGCUGAGUGAUCUUCAUGGAAAUAUUCUGUUGAAAUCUUUGGGAUUGGUGUAACGAUAGGCAGUAAUUUAUUUUCCUUUGAAAUUUCAAACUGCAUCCCAAAUAGGGAUCAUUAUAUGAACCCUCAUAAGGAUCCAUAUAAAGAUAAUUAAACAGAUCCUUAUACAGGCUCAUAUGAUGGGUUUUUCAGAUUCCUUGCCAUUUGUUUUCUGUCUUUUACAAUUUUUGCAGCAAUCAGUGAGUUUGAUUUAUCAACAUCAUUCACUUUUGUCAUUUGGAAUUAGGUGAGCAUAUCAACUAAUUUUCCAUCAUUAAAUUCAUGAUACAAAAAUCAUCCAAUACUUCCACAUCCUACUAAAAAGAUGAUAGUGUGUCCAACUUUAGGUUAUUCUUCUUCUUUCAGCUUCACUAUUCAGAAAUCCUCCAGACAAAAUGGUUUUGCAAUAUGCAUUCAAGAUAAUUUUUCUUGAUUCCACAAAUUGCAAUUACCUUCCCACAGUGCAGAAUUUUAAAUUUUUUUCCAUCCACGUUGCACCGUAAGUUAGUUGUUUUCUAUAUCAUCCAGUAUUUUAUAUGCAAAUUGUUGAACCAAUUUACCUAAAAUUCCAAAUUAUGCUCUCAUCUGACAGUUGAACCAGGUUAGUCAUAUCGAGUGGUAAAAACAAAACUUAAACAUUAAAGAGUUCUACAUUAGAGGGAUGGGAUUACUAGUUAUCCAUUAGAAACAAACAUUUUGUAGUCAAUAUUCUGUUUUUUUUUUAAAUAAAUUUCAGCUUCAGGAAUUAAGUUCUGAUAAAAUCAUUUUCAAAUAUUGUAAUAGUUAUCUAUGAUUUGCAGAAUGUUUAGAACCUUCUUCAGUUACUUUAGCAAACCAUGGCAGGAUUUCUCCAGCAGAAUCUCCAUGAGGUAUAUGUCCUCAGCCAUACAGCAGUUCAGAUAUACUUUAACUAAAAUGUAGGAUAACAUAACCAGCAUAAGCAGAGUGGUACACAUCGACAGAAAUACAUCGAGACUUGUAUGUCAGAUAGUAAAACAUUUUGAAAAUUAAGAUUUGCUUGAAUGAACAAGAGGCAACAACUGCAAACAAUGAAACAAACUUUGGUUGAUAAUUAUAUGAUAUUGGUAAGCAUGGCUGUGGCUAAGAAGCUCGCUUUGUAACCACGUGAUUUUGGGCUCAAUCCCAGUGCAAGGCACCUUGGAUGUGUUAUUCUACCAUAGCCCUGAGAUAACCAAUGCCUUAUGAGUGAAUUUGGCUGAUGGAAACUAUGUGGAAGCUCAUCAUAUAUGUAUGUCUGUUUAUGUUCACAUAACUUAGCAGUUUGGCAAUAUGAAACCGAUAGAAUAAGUAUCGGAUUUCAAAAAAAUAAAAUCAGGGGUUCAAGGUAGUGCCCCAGUAUGGCCGCAAUCAAAUGACUGGAGCAAGGCAAAAGCUACCAUUAUAAAACUUCAAAUUAUUUAAAAAAACAAACAUUAGAUGAAUGUUUUGGCCCUAUUGUGUUUGCUUCUCCUUUGAUUCAUUCAAGCAAAAUAUUUUACUGUUUGAUGUACAAGUUUUGAUAUUUUUCUGUCAGACUUAAGCAACAUGAAGACAAAAUCAGAGUUCCUAAGGGGAAAAAAAGAAAAAAAAAAGAACACUUUGCAAAGCAUGGGGAUGUAUAAGGGAUCACAACAACAAGGUAAUCGUGCAUUUCAAAUCAAUAAACAAUAAUCAACCAAAGCCAAAAACCAUGCUAACGUGAAACCAUAUAAAUGGAAUACCAUGUAAACCGAGGAACAAAGACAUGUAUGUUUGUAUACACAGAGAUGAGAUGGGGUGGGGUGGUGGGAAGGAGUGCUAAAAAAAUAAACAACAAAACCAUUCUCUAAUUUUCUUUUAAAAGAGAAAUUGGUUUGAUACAGCAGUUGGCAACUGGAUUAGUUACUUCAAUCUCUCAUGUUCUUCGGUUCAACUGACAUAGUCGAUAGGAUUAGUAAGUACCAGCAAUAUGUUGGAGUCAACUUCAUUAACCUUACCCUUUUGUUUUAAAAUGGAUCACAACAGUUUUGUCAAUCCAAAAUAACUGGAAUUUUCAGCGAGGUAGGAUUUCUACCCAAAUAAAAUGCUUUUAUAUUGUGUUUAGAGCAAUAUACAACAGUAUUUUAGUUAAACAUUCUUGGCAAUAUCUUAUAUAUAUAUAUUUUAUUUAAAAGCAGCAGAAAUAUAACAAAAAGCUGUUACUCGAACGGGAACAUGAAACUCUGAGUAACAGUUUUUUUUUGUUAUAUUUCUGCUGCUUUUAAAUAAAGCAUAUUACUCUACCUCUGGUAUUUGAGUACUCUUUUUUCCAUCUUGUACAUUUAUGUGCUUACUCUGGUAUAUAUAUAUAUAUAUAUAUACAUACAUAUAUAUAUAUAUAUAUACACACAUACACACACUGAUAUUGCUGAAUAAUGAGGUGCUAUUGUUAUUUAGUCCCAGAGCGUUACUGACUGACCUAUGAUCUAAGUAAUUCCAGCCAUGACCAUCCCAUUAUUUUUUCGAUGAGUAUAACUAGAACUACUCUAUUUAAUAUGUCCUAUUUUUUUUUAUGGUGGUAGGGUGAGAUCUGAGGGGAAUUUGGCUGUUAUAGAGUGGGAGGUGAUGUGUCUAGAUGUAACAAAGUUUAUUCCACUGAGUCGUGGACAGCAACAUUUCAGAGUAUUUCCCUUUAUAAGCAAAGGAAAGAAAAUACUAAGACGUACACAUUUCCAGAAUCUGAGAACCAAGAAACUCGGUCUUGUUUCCUGAAGAACUUCUAAGCUGUGACUUUCUCUUGAUCGAGUUUUCGUAUCAGUUCUGGAACUCCAGGACAAUAGAAUUAUCUUUACAUGUAUUUUUAGUUUAUAAUUUUAUAUUUCUUUUUUUAAUUGGAAUUUAAUCAAAUACACUUUUCUGCUUGAAUGUAUUUAAAAUUUAUAUGCGUUAUUUCUUUACGAUCGAUAUAAUUUAAUGUCAUUUGAUUGAUUAUGGCAUUUUUUAUUAUGUAAAUAAUAAAGCUAUAAUACAUCAUCAUUUAACUCUGUUUUCUAUGCUGGCAUGGAUUGGAAGAUAUUUAACAUUUUAAUGAACAUACUUUUACAAUUAUCCUCCCCACUAGCUCAAUGUUCUUAAAAUAAGACACACCUAGAGAACUUCUCUUCCCAUAAUUCAUUGCCACAUCAAUAACAACAAGAACAGCUUCGUAAUCAACAUAUCUAUGGGAUGGAAAGGUCGGCUGUUCUGUUGUACAACAAAUAUUCCUUUUACUAGUGGAGCCAUGUGGUUAUGGUAUUCAGCUCAUGACCAUAUCAUAAGGUCAUGAGAUUUGAUACCCAGCAGCUUGUUGUGUCCUUGAGCAAGACUCUUUAUUUCAUGUUGCUCCAGUCCACUCAGCUGGCAAAAAAGAGUUGUACCUCUAAUUGAAAGGCUCAGCCUUGUCACAUUUUGUGUCAUGCUGAAUCAGCCUGAGAACUACAUCAAGAGCACACAUGUCUGUGGAAUCCUCAGCCACUUUGAUGUUAAUUUCACAAGCAGUCAGGUUAGUUGAUCAGAGGAUACAGAAAUUUGCAUUAAGAGCAAACUUUAUCUUUUUUUUGUUUUGUUUUGCAGAGUAUGUAUGCAACCAUUAGAGUAUCAUUCUCUCAAAUUUCUUUGAUUAAUAAAAAUCAACCCAGAACAAGAGUGCAUACACAAGUGCAUAGUUGAGAGAGAAUCCUGACCAACCACAAGGGUACAGUUGAGAGGGAACACUGACCAAUCACAAAGCCUUUUUCCAAUGCUCUAAUGAUUCUGCCCACCCAGCAGCCUUGCCAAUCCACUGCCCUGCAAAAAUAAUAACCCUUUCCAUUACAGGCCUGAAAUCAUUUGGUAGAAGGGGGUCCAAGUCGAUUACAUUAACCCCAAAAUGAUGGAAGGCAAGGUCAACCUUAGCGGCAUUUG